rnacentral:rRNA from 1 species
UACGUAGGGGGCAAGCGUUGUCCGGAUUUAUUGGGCGUAAAGAGCGUGUAGGCGGUUAUGCAGGUCCGCUGUGAAAACUGGAGGCUUAACCUCCAGACGUCGGUGGAAACCGCAUGACUAGAGUCCGGAAGAGGAGAGUGGAAUUCCUGGUGUAGCGGUGAAAUGCGCAGAUAUCAGGAAGAACACCCGUGGCGAAGGCGGCUCUCUGGGACGGUACUGACGCUGAGACGCGAAAGCGUGGGGAGCGAACAGG